GAAACCUUUGCAAUGUGCGAAAGCACGACAAGGUUAAUCCGAGUGUCUCCCGCUAAGGGAGUCUUUUGUCAGUUCUAGAACCACUGGUGAAUAAGGGGUGGGCAAGUUCUGGUGUCAGCCGCCGCGGUAAAACCAGCACCUCGAGUGGUCAGGAGGUUUAUUGGGCCUAAAGCAUCCGUAGCCGGUUGCAUAAGUUUUCGGUUAAAUCUAUGCGCUUAACGUAUAGGCCGCCGAAAAUACUGUGCAGCUAGGGAGUGGGAGAGGUACACGGUACUCGAUAGGAAGGGGUAAAAUCCUUUGAUCUAUUGAUGACCACCUGUGGCGAAGGCGGUGUACCAGAACACGUUCGACGGUGAGGGAUGAAAGCUGGGGGAGCAAACCGG
rnacentral:rRNA from 1 species